GCAGUCGAGCGGUAGCACAGAGAGCUUGCUCUCGGGUGACGAGCGGCGGACGGGUGAGUAAUGUCUGGGAAACUGCCUGAUGGAGGGGGAUAACUACUGGAAACGGUAGCUAAUACCGCAUAAUGUCGCAAGACCAAAGUGGGGGACCUUCGGGCCUCAUGCCAUCAGAUGUGCCCAGAUGGGAUUAGCUAGUAGGUGGGGUAACGGCUCACCUAGGCGACGAUCCCUAGCUGGUCUGAGAGGAUGACCAGCCACACUGGAACUGAGACACGGUCCAGACUCCUACGGGAGGCAGCAGUGGGGAAUAUUGCACAAUGGGCGCAAGCCUGAUGCAGCCAUGCCGCGUGUGUGAAGAAGGCCUUCGGGUUGUAAAGCACUUUCAGCGGGGAGGAAGGCGUUAAGGUUAAUAACCUUGGCGAUUGACGUUACCCGCAGAAGAAGCACCGGCUAACUCCGUGCCAGCAGCCGCGGUAAUACGGAGGGUGCAAGCGUUAAU
rnacentral:rRNA from 1 species